CUGUAAAGUAUCCGAAACGUCGGCCAUCUAAAUAAAUUAAUAAACCGCAAUAUAAUCCGAAAAAGUGAUUUCAUUAUAUUCUAAAAAUGAUUUUAU